rnacentral:sRNA from 24 species
CUUAAUCAAUAACACACACACAUCGACACCUGUACCGGGGUGCCCCUUUGGGGUCGGUUACAUGGGAUGUGUGGAGGCCUAAC